rnacentral:rRNA from 1 species
GAUGAACGCUAGCGGCAGGCCUAAUACAUGCAAGUCGGACGGGAUCCAUCGGAGAGCUUGCUCGAAGAUGGUGAGAGUGGCGCACGGGUGCGUAACGCGUGAGCAACCUACCUCUAUCAGGGGGAUAGCCUCUCGAAAGAGAGAUUAACACCGCAUAACAUCAACAGUUCGCAUGUUCGGUUGAUUAAAUAUUUAUAGGAUAGAGAUGGGCUCGCGUGACAUUAGCUAGUUGGUAGGGUAACGGCUUACCAAGGCGACGAUGUCUAGGGGCUCUGAGAGGAGAAUCCCCCACACUGGUACUGAGACACGGACCAGACUCCUACGGGAGGCAGCAGCAAGGAAUAUUGGUCAAUGGGCGGAAGCCUGAACCAGCCAUGCCGCGUGCAGGAUGACUGCCCUAUGGGUUGUAAACUGCUUUUGUCCAGGAAUAAACCCAGAUACGUGUAUCUGGCUGAAUGUACUGGAAGAAUAAGGAUCGGCUAACUCCGUGCCAGCCGCCGCGGUAAAAC